rnacentral:rRNA from 1 species
AACGAACGCUGGCGGCAGGCCUAACACAUGCAAGUCGAGCGCCCCAGCAAUGGGGAGCGGCAGACGGGUGAGUAACGCGUGGGUAUCUACCUAGUGGUGCGGAACAGCCCAGGGAAACUUGGAGUAAUACCGCAUAAGCCCGAAAGGGGAAGAUUUAUCGCCAUUAGAUGAGCCCGCGUUGGAUUAGCUAGUUGGUGGGGUAACGGCCCACCAAGGCGACGAUCCAUAGCUGGUCUGAGAGGAUGAUCAGCCACACUGGGACUGAGACACGGCCCAGACUCCUACGGGAGGCAGCAGUGGGGAAUAUUGGACAAUGGGCGCAAGCCUGAUCCAGCCAUGCCGCGUGAGUGACGAAGGUCUUCGGAUUGUAAAGCUCUUUUGGCGGGGACGAUAAUGACGGUACCCGCAGAAUAAGCCCCGGCUAACUUCGUGCCAGCAGCCGCGGUAAU